rnacentral:rRNA from 1 species
UACGGAGGGUGCAAGCGUUGUCCGGAUUUAUUGGGUUUAAAGGGUGCGUAGGUGGCCCGUUAAGUCCGGGGUGAAAGCCCACUGCUCAACAGUGGAACUGCCCUGGAAACUGGAGAACUUGAGUACAGACGAGGGCGGCGGAAUGGAUGGUGUAGCGGUGAAAUGCAUAGAUACCAUCCAGAACCCCGAUUGCGAAGGCAGCUGCCUAGACUGUAACUGACGCUGAGGCACGAAAGCGUGGGGAGCGAACAGG